AGGGAAUCUUCCGCAAUGGGCGAAAGCCUGACGGAGCAACGCCGCGUGAGUGAUGAAGGUCUUCGGAUCGUAAAACUCUGUUAUUAGGGAAGAACAAACGUGUAAGUAACUGUGCACGUCUUGACGGUACCUAAUCAGAAAGCCACGGCUAACUACGUGCCAGCAGCCGCGGUAAUACGUAGGUGGCAAGCGUUAUCCGGAAUUAUUGGGCGUAAAGCGCGCGUAGGCGGUUUUUUAAGUCUGAUGUGAAAGCCCACGGCUCAACCGUGGAGGGUCAUUGGAAACUGGAAAACUUGAGUGCAGAAGAGGAAAGUGGAAUUCCAUGUGUAGCGGUGAAAUGCGCAGGGAUAUGGAGGAACACCAGUGGCGAAGGCGACUUUCUGGUCUGUAACUGACGCUGAUGUGCGAAAGCGUGGGGAUCAAACAGGAUUAGAUACCCUGGUAGUCCACGCCGUAAACGAUGAGUGCUAAGUGUUAGGGGGUUUCCGCCCCUUAGUGCUGCAGCUAACGCAUUAAGCACUCCGCCUGGGGAGUACGACCGCAAGGUUG
rnacentral:rRNA from 1 species